GAUGAACGCUGGCGGCGUGCCUAAUACAUGCAAGUCGAGCGAACGGACGAGAAGCUUGCUUUUCUGAUGUUAGCGGCGGACGGGUGAGUAACACGUGGAUAACCUACCUAUAAGACUGGGAUAACUUCGGGAAACCGGAGCUAAUACCGGAUCAUAUUUUGAACCGCAUGGUUCAAAAGUGAAAGACGGUCUUGCUGUCACUUAUAGAUGGAUCCGCGCUGCAUUAGCUAGUUGGUAAGGUAACGGCUUACCAAGGCAACGAUGCAUAGCCGACCUGAGAGGGUGAUCGGCCACACUGGAACUGAGACACGGUCCAGACUCCUACGGGAGGCAGCAGUAGGGAAUCUUGCACAAUGGGCGAAAGCCUGACGGAGCAACGCCGCGUGAGUGAUGAAGGUCUUCGGAUCGUAAAACUCUGUUAUUAGGGAAGAACAUAUGUGUAAGUAACUGUGCACAUCUUGACGGUACCUAAUCAGAAAGCCACGGCUAACUACGUG
rnacentral:rRNA from 1 species